ensembl:lncRNA
CGGGUGGCGGAGGGAGAAAGAAGGAAGGGAGGCGGUAAGUGAACGGCGGCUCGCAGGGAGGGAGAGAGAGGGAGGGAGGAAGGCGGAGGGAUAUUCGGGCCGGACCUCUCCGCGGCGGCACCGCGCUCCAUGUCGAUUGGCUGCCGCCGUGGCCACGCGGAAUCCCCAAUUGGCCCGGCGGUCAGCGUUGAAGGGCCGCCCUGCGCCCAUUCGCCCGCUGGUUUCAAGGCCCGGGUUGGCUGGGCGGGCAGCGAAAUGAGGCGCGCGGAUUGGUCGGAGGGAGGGAGGUUGGGGUGGGGCAGGCGAGAGCCGGCCGCUGAUUGGAUUGGCCUGGUAAAGGCCUAGAGCGCAGACCGGCUGAGCGCUGGGAGGAGGGUGGACCAAAGACGAGACUCCGGGUCCGCGUGAUUGGCUGGGACACUAGACGUUGAUAGGAUAGGGCGCCCGGGAGAACUGGGGAGAGGAGUUCGGGGUCGGGACCGCGGAAAGGCGGGAGGCGCCCCGCCGCUUCAGGAGCCUGGCGCGGGGCACGAUGGGACGCCCCCGAGAAGGGGCGGAGCCGUGUUCGGGCUGCGGUUGGGAAAGUGCCGUCACUCCAAGGGGCGUGUUGAGGAGGGUUUCGCGGGCCCUAGCGGGGGAGGGGGGACUGUUAAAGCCUCGCACCGCGCCCACAGGAAGCUGCUUUCUUGGCCGGGCCUACUUGGUACCAGGCUCUCAGCUGGGAAGGACCUUGAAGACCAUGCGGUUCAACUUCGAAUUCGCAGGUGUGGAAACUGAAGCCCAAAGAGGAGCUAUCUGUGAUUUACUGGGUCGCCACAGAAAGCACAGUUUGGGACGGGACGGUGGCAGAACGCUCAAUUCCUCACCCAGCGCUGUCCACAUCGGUCUGCCCAGCGCUGAGGUCGGUGUUUUUGUGAUCAUCUCUUCACCCUCCCAGUUUGCCAAAAAGCAUCUGAGCUCCAGAGAGUGCCUUGCUCAAGGUCACAGAAGUCAGCGUUGA